GUCCCGGUAGCUCAGUGGUAGAGCUCCUAUAUGUGGUGAGCGAAAGCGCCUAGCAAUAACUACGAGGAGGUUACAGGUUCGAAUCCUGCCUUGUGGCU